rnacentral:rRNA from 1 species
GAUGAACGCUGGCGGCGUGCCUAAUACAUGCAAGUCGAGCGAACGGACGAGAAGCUUGCUUCUCUGAUGUUAGCGGCGGACGGGUGAGUAACACGUGGAUAACCUACCUAUAAGACUGAGAUAACUUCGGGAAACCGGAGCUAAUACCGGAUGAUAUUUUGAACCGCAUGGUUCAAAAGUGAAAGACGGUCUUGCUGUCACUUAUAGAUGGAUCCGCGCUGCAUUAGCUAGUUGGUAAGGUAACGGCUUACCAAGGCAACGAUGCAUAGCCGACCUGAGAGGGUGAUCGGCCACACUGGAACUGAGACACGGUCCAGACUCCUACGGGAGGCAGCAGUAGGGAAUCUUCCGCAAUGGGCGAAAGCCUGACGGAGCAACGCCGCGUGAGUGAUGAAGGUCUUCGGAUCGUAAAACUCUGUUAUUAGGGAAGAACAUAUGUGUAAGUAACUGUGCACAUCUUGACGGUGCCUAAUCAGAAAGCCACGGCUAACUACGUG